UACGUAGGGUGCAAGCGUUGUCCGGAAUUAUUGGGCGUAAAGAGCUCGUAGGCGGUUUGUCGCGUCUGCUGUGAAAACCCGAGGCUCAACCUCGGGCCUGCAGUGGGUACGGGCAGACUAGAGUGCGGUAGGGGAGAUUGGAAUUCCUGGUGUAGCGGUGGAAUGCGUAGAUAUCUGGAGGAACACCGGUGGCGAAGGCGGCAUCCUGGACCGGCAUUGACGCUGAGGCGCGAAAGCCAGGGGAGCAAACGGG
rnacentral:rRNA from 1 species